AAUAUUUUCCUUAUUGGCAGAGAGGAAGAGAUAGUGUGGAACUUGGGGCUUUGAUGGAUGAAUUUAGUCUAUGAUCAUGCUGUGGAUUGUGAUCAAGAACUUGUUCCUUUCUGCACCCAGCGGCUGAGUCAACUCUUGUGUGACAGGUUGUUCAGUGAGAGAAGCUUGAAGCUGCAGCAAUCAACACAUUUUUGGAAGGAAAAAGAAAAAUGUUGAUGACUACCAUGCAAAUUAUUUCUUUGAUAUUGCUCAUACUUAAGUCUGAUGUAAAUGCGUACUUGAAAUAUUGCCAUUAUGAAUUCGGGUUUUAAGAGGCAAAAUUGUUGUUUUUAUUUCUUCUC